AUCAGGUAGGGACACCCGCUGAACUUAAGCAUAUCAAUAAGCGGAGGAAAAGAAAAUAACAAUGAUUCCCCUAGUAACUGCGAGUGAAGAGGGACAAGCUCAAAUUUUAAAUCUGUUAGGUAUCACCUGGCCGAGUUGUAAUUUGAAGAAGCGUUUUCUGCGUCCUUGGUCAGCCCAAGUCCUAUUGAAUGAGGCAUCAUGGAGGGUGAUAAUCCCGUCCGGUUGAUCAAUGCGUUUUACGAUACGCUCUCAAAGAGUCAAGUUGUUUGGGAUUGCAGCUUAAAAUGGGAGGUAAAUUUCUCCUAAGGCUAAAUAUUGGCGAGAGACCGAUAGCGAACAAGUACCGUGAGGGAAAGAUGAAAAGAACUUUGAAAAGAGAGUAAAAUAGUGCGUGAAAUUGUUGAAAGGGAAACGAUUGAAGUCAGUCGUACCGACGGACAAUCAGCCUUUUGAGUGCGAAUCUGUGGCUCAUGAGGAGGAAACCCUCAUGUUUUGCAUAUUUGUGCUCUUUGGGUGUAUGUGUUCGUAUGGUGGGUUAACAUCAAUUUUGGUCGUCAUAAAAUGACGGGAGGAAAGUAGCUUUGGUCUCGUACUGAAGUGUUAUAGCCUCUGGUAGGUGUGACGACCGGGAUUGAGGAUUACAACGGAUACCCUUUUGGGCUACUCGCCUGAUCUCUGAUCGUUACUCUGGUGCCGAAAGCUUGCUUAUGUCAUCAAAGUUGAUGGUCAAAAGGUUAGAACGGGUUAAAUUCGUUAAGGAUGUUGACGUAAUGGCUUUAAACGACCCGUCUUGAAACACGGACCAAGGAGUCUAACAUAUAUGCGAGUGUU
rnacentral:rRNA from 1 species